rnacentral:misc_RNA from 1 species
CCCACACACACACACACCACACACACAUACACACGCACCGCGCCUCCUGUGCUCAUCACCCCACCCUCCCUCCCUCUCUCUCACCUCACAUGUCCACUGCAGCGGACCGGCAGGCGUUUCUCCGCCUCAUGGGGCUGACGGACGCCGACGUCAGCGACCCUGAUCACCAGCCCUGCGCCAUCCUCCACUCGCAGACCUCCUCCAGCCACAACGCGACUGACAAGGUGCAUCGUGGAGUCAAGUACAACUCGCCGACCGCGUCAUCUGUCGCCGGCCUUUCCCACUCUGCGUCUCUCGGUGGGGAUGCGAUUCAGUUCUCGCUCAUGAACACCACGAACACCCUUCGCGACACCUCACCGAUCGUCGCUAGCGGGCCGCCAUCGUCGUCGCGGCCUCUCUUCUCUACACCACGCAGUGUGCAUUGGGAAGAGGAGAGCAUCACCACGACCUCACACUCAUCGCAGCUGCCGCAGCGAGCAGCUGCAUCAGGCUGCACCGCCGCUGCCAUCAGUGAGGAGCUGAAGGACAUUGGGAACCGCUCCUUCGAGGCCGGAGCGUUUCGCGAGGCUGUUCAACACUACACAGCCGCCAUCGAUGCCUUGGCUGCCAGCACCACACAUAGCAGCGCGGAGGUGCUGCUACUCAGCGCGUUGCACAGCAACCGCUCCGCCGCUUACUUGCAGGCAGCGCACCAGAUGCCCAGCGUCGAGGAUGCUUAUGCGCGUGCGUUGUGUGAUGCAGACCGAACUGUGUCGCUGCGCACGUCGUGGUUCAAGGGGUAUGCGAGGCAGGGCGAUGCCUACUUCAAGCUGAAGCGCUACGGCGCCGCGGCGGAGGCGUACGAGAUGGCGCUGCAACUCGACCCGCGUAACAAAACCCUGAUGAACGCACUCUCAGAAUCGCGCCAGCGUGCAAGGCGCGCGGCUAGGGAAGAGCUGGAGCUGCGCCGCACAAUACGCUCGACCACAAGCACGACUUCAUCGCUCGCGUCGACUAUGACCGGUCAAGCCGGCAGCAGCACUUGGUCUGAGGGCGACCCCCGCGGCGGUGCGGCAGCGUCGCAGCAGGCGCAGACGCUAAGCGACGUGUACGAUGGUGGUCGUCGUCACAGUGGUCAGGCGCAGCAGUUGUGGGCCGCGCUGAAACACGAGGUGGAAUCGACGGUGCACGAAGCCACCGGUGAUGCCUAUAGACUGCAGCAGCUCGAGCGGUUCCGGGCGCGGUGCAGCAAGGGAGCUACGCCAACAGCACAGCAAGCUGCAGAGAGGAAAACUUGUGUGAAAAAUGCGACUGCCUUGGCUUCCGGAGCACCGGCCUCUGAGUCGAUGCGGGAGGCGUCUGUUUCGGGGUCUCGGUUUAGCACAGCAACAAGGCCGGAUGUCGACAUGGGCACCGCUGCUGCUGCCGCUGCGGCGGAGCGCCGCCAUGCGCCGUCUGUUUCGCCGUUCGCCGCCACGGCUCUGUCAUCUGAGCCUCAUCUGCCGCCGCGUCGCCGCUCCUCUGCCUCUCCCGCGGCUGGCGGCCAUGCGGCGGCCAUGGCCACCUUCGACGAGCCUGUGAAGAACGCUCGCGACGUGCCGUACGAGUUUUCCAGCGCGGCCGCCUCCGCGUAUCAGCAGCGGCUGCUCGAGGCGUUUCGCAAGCGCAAGGCGACGAAACAAUGAGGCGGCUGCGGGGGGUGGUGGUGACGUGGCGAGGGGAGGGCAACUGCGGUUUCGGGCGUUGGCGGCGGCCACCAGCGCCGUAAUCAGGCCGUAUGUCGUUCGCCUUUCUUCCCCAUCGCUCGCAGCGCAUGCGUCCCUCCCCUUCCCCUCCUCCUCCCACGCCUUGUCUGUGUGCUUGACGCCAGCGGUAUUCAGCGCCCCCUUCUCUUUCUCUUCCUCCUGCGCAUGUUCGCUUGCGCGUGAGGGUGGGGAGGCGGAGGAUUGGGGGGGGGCGUGCCGAUGUACAGCUCAAAUGAAUGCCGCACGGAGGGGAGGGGGAGGGGAGCCCUCGCUGUGUGGGUAUCGAAGACCUUUUCCUUUGUGUAUGGAUGGGGUGGGAGGCUGCGUCCACAUGCAUGCGUGCGUGUUGGCGCCUGUCUUCCCACCCCUUUAAUUAUCAUGGGGUUAUGGACUCUCCAUUCAUCCAUCCAUCCGCAUCAAGGCCUAUGUAUCUCAACGUUUAUCUCUAUUUCUCUAUACGUGUGUGUGUGCGUGUGUCUAUGCCUGUCGGGGUCUCCGUGUGCGUCUAUGUGCGUGCAUCGAGCGCGACCCACUGCCCCCGCGCCCACCACCGGGUGUGCGCGUGUGGGUGCGUGUGCCGUUCCAGAGCAGCUCCGUGGCUGAGGGUGCCUCCGACCUGGCCAACUGCGAAACGAAACGCGGUGGCGGGCGUCGGUGCGGACGCCGGCGCGCCUAUGCACUCGUCCUCGCGCCAUCCAUGCCAACCUUUCAGCUGCACAAGUGCGAAGGCGGGUGGCCCUGCCAUGCGGACGUGCGUGGACGCGCUCUUGUCCCCGGCCAUCGGCCUCGUGGGAAGGGAGGCGUGCAUGCGCCGCAGAUGCCUUGCCCUCGCCCAUCUCGCGCAUCACUUCCACGGAUGGCGCCUCUCCCUUGCCUCUUUGAAUCGACCCCCAAG